rnacentral:rRNA from 1 species
CAGCAGCCGCGGUAAAACGUAGGGUGCAAGCGUUAAUCGGAAUUACUGGGCGUAAAGCGUGCGCAGGCGGUUGUGUAAGACAGGUGUGAAAUCCCCGGGCUUAACCUGGGAACUGCGCUUGUGACUGCACAGCUAGAGUAUGGCAGAGGGGGGUGGAAUUCCACGUGUAGCAGUGAAAUGCGUAGAGAUGUGGAGGAGCACCGAUGGCGAAGGCAGCCCCCUGGGCCAAUACUGACGCUCAUGCACGAAAGCGUGGGGAGCAAACAGGAUUAGAUACCCCCGUAGUCCCUGUCUCUUAUAC